AUUGAACGCUGGCGGCAGGCUUAACACAUGCAAGUCGAGCGAGCGGCGGACGGGUGAGUAAUGUCUGGGAAACUGACUGAUGGAGGGGGAUAACUACUGGAAACGGUAGCUAAUACCGCAUACCAUCAGAUGUGCCCAUAUGGGAUUAGCUAGUAGGUGGGGUAAAGGCUAACCUAGGCGACGAUCUCUAGCUGGUCUGAGAGGAUGAUCAGCCACACUGGGACUGAGACACGGCCCCGACUCCUACGGUAGGCAGAAGUGGGGAAUAUUGAACAAUGGGCGCAAGCCUGAUGCAGCAAUGCCGCGUGUAUGAAGAAGGCCUUAGGGUUGUAAAGUACUUUCAGCGGGUAGGCGUUACCCGCAGAAGAAGCACCGGCUAACUCCGUGCCAGCAGCGGCGGUAAUAC
rnacentral:rRNA from 1 species